rnacentral:sRNA from 1 species
AACGAGCCCUGAUAGAAGUGGAAAUCCUUUUGCGAAGGCGUUCGCCGCAAAAGAUUGGAACGAAGAACGGGAUUAGCU